GGGCAAGCACGCAGGGAAUUUAAGUGCUUGCUCUUAGGAGUAGCUGUUUCUCUGUCUAAAACGCAGAGAGAGUAAGGGCUGGGUAAGACGGGUGCCAGCCGCCGCGGUAAUACCUGCAGCUCAAGUGGUGGUCGUUAUUAUUGGGCCUAAAACGUCCGUAGCCGGUUUACUAAAUGCCUGGGUAAAUCGUACGGCUUAACCGUACGAAUUCCGGGUAGACUGGUAAACUCGAGAUCGGGAGAAGCUAGAGGUACUCCUGGGGUAGAGGUGAAAUUCUGUAAUCCUAGGGGGACCACCAGUGGCGAAGGCGUCUAGCUAUAACGAGUUUGACGGUGAGGGACGAAGCCCUGGGGCGCAAACGGGAUUAGAUACCCCGGUAGUCCAGGUGUAAACGCUGCUUGCUUGAUGUUGGUCGGGCUCCGAGCCCGAUCAGUGUCGGAGAGAAGUUGUUAAGCAAGCUGCCUGGGGAGUACGGUCGCAAGACUGAAACUUAAAGGAAUUGGCGGGGGAGCACUGCAACGGGUGGAGCGUGCGGUUUAAUUGGAUUCAACCGCCGGAAAGCUCACCGGAGGCGACGGUUACAUGAAGGCCAGGCUGAUGACCUUGCCUGAUUUUCCGAGAGGUGGUGCAUGGCCGCCGUCAGUUCGUACCGUAAGGCGUUCUGUUAAGUCAGACAACGAACGAGACCCUCAUCUUUAAAUUGCAAAUGGUAAGCUUCGCUUAUCAUGCACAUUAAAGAAACCGCCUGGCGAUAAGUCAGAGGAAGGCGAGGGCAACGGUAGGUCAAGUAUGCCCCUGAAUCCUUCGGGCUACACGCGCGCUACAAAGGAUAGGACAAUGGGUCACAACACCGAAAGGUGAAGUUAAUCUCGAAACCUAUUCGUAGUUCAGAUUGAGGGUUAUAACUCACCCUCAUGAGCUG
rnacentral:rRNA from 1 species